CUGCGCUCCACGGUAGGAGCGCACUCCCGCCGCCGACACCUCCGUUACCGCGCGCUGUCGCCGGUUCCCGCCUUGUGGGAAGUUCCUGGGGCCCCCGCAGAGUUUCAGGCCUCAAGGGAAACAGAAGUUCUUCUCAAGUUGAACAGCAAAGCAAAGCGUCUUGUAUCCAAGACAUAUGUAGACAUGAACAAAGUGCUCCUGGGAUGACAGUUGCUGCAUCACUGACGGAGCGCUAGACUUUUAUGGUAGUGAUGGAGGGUCCUCUGUCGUGUGUGGUGCUUCCUGGAGGCAGGGGACAGCCUGAGUUACUUUUCAUUUGACCACAUGUUGCCGAGCACCUCCUGUAUGCCAGAUGCCAUGCCGUGUUCUAGCAACACGGUCCUCUGCUGCCAUGUUCUCACCUACCCCAGGGGCCACCAGAGAGCCCAGAGGCAGUGACACUGGAGUGGGACACAGCUUACGAUGACGACCGUCGCAGGGUGCCGUAGAAGCAUAUUUGUCUUUGGGGUGGUGGUCCUGGAAGGCUUCCCAGGAGAGGUGAUGUCUAAGCUGAGACCUGAAAAACGAGGAGUUUGUAUGAGAAACAAUGAGAGCUCACAUUUUUGAGUAUGCUUCUGUCUGCCAGGUACCAUGCUGUGUUUCACGUGUGUUUUCCCAUCUAGGACUCACAACAAAACUAUGAGGUAGGUACUGUCCUGCCCAUUUUACAGAUGGGAAAACUGAGGCUCAUAGAUGUGCCGUUAACUUGCCAAAGAAAUGUAGCUAGUAAGUAAAGAAGCUGAGAUUGAGACACGGCACGUAUUUGAGUUCAUCAGUACCAUCAGUCAUGCGAGACCAGCCCACAUCAUGCUUAUAAAGUGAGGGCCACUCAGGUUAGCAGGAAAGGCUUAUCCUCAGCCAAGCCAUAUAUAGGAAGCCAAAGGAAUAAAUGGUUUUCUGAUAUGUGGAAAAUAGGAGGGGAGGGGAAGGAUGUGAUUCCAGAGGUUUCCAAGAAUGAUGCGUCCAGAUGUGAGGGUCAGAUUAUUUGCGGUUCCAAUCAUGAGUUGAGUAAGGGAUACCGAUGGGUCUGGGAAUUAAUUGCCCAUGUAUCAUUUUUCGCAGUGAUCCGUGUAUUCCAAAAUGAGCAAGAGUCGUUUGGACCCAUCGGUUUCUGAGGCAGAAACUUCCCUAAGAAUGAUAGGUGGGCAUCAGUGAGGAGUCCUCGAGUGCUGUCCUUGUAAUGGCAGCUAAUUUUUAUUUAGAAUGUUUGUUUCUUGCCAGAUACCAAUGAAAAGCUUUACAGUUAGUCCUCAUGACAACCCUUUUUUAGGCAAAGACACUGGAGGUAAAGACAGAAUGAGUGUCUGGGAUUCAUGACCUCAGCUACCACCCUGGACCAGAGACCUCUGCCCAGGGCUUCUGAUACAACUGGCCCAUGUUUCUGCGUGAAGGGCUGUUUUCCAGAAAAGCCUUUUGAAUGCUUUGGGCUUAACAGGGCCAUAAUUAAAAUUCUGGCAUUCGUUUGCCUCGCAGUUAUUUCCCGAAUGACAAUUAGGUACCAGGCACGGUGCUAAGUUCUGUGGACACAGCUGUGAGCACACAGACAGAGACUCUGCCCCGUGGAGGUAAAUAUGUAUGUGCAGAGGAUGAAAAUACCGUGAAGGAAAUGAUUGGUGGAUGGGAUGGAACAACAGGGAGACCAUGCUGUGGUAGGUCAGGGAAGACCUUUCUGAUGACAUGGCGUUUAAGAUGGGACCUGAAAGGGAACCAGGAUAAGGGCAAGCAAGAGGUCCCCAUCACGAGAGACCGCUGCGUGUGUCUGAGGAGCUGAAGGGAGGCCAGUACGAGUAGAGCAGAGGCCUGUGGGAGAGGCCCGGCAUGGCUGGGCAGACCCCGGGCUGUGUGCUGUAGUUGGGCUGGCCUUUGGUGUGGGCACCUCUAGCCCUGACAGGUGGAUAAGUCGCUGAGCUGAAGCAGACACACGCCCACGCCAACAUGCAAGGUCCCCGAGGGCUGUAAAACAUUACUGACAGGGGUUUCUAAACCACCUCAGUUUACAGAGCCCUGAGUAACUCAGUGACUUUUUUCACCGCACGCUGAGGCUGGAAGAGAUACGUAAUGGUUUCAUUUAUUAAGUAGUCGGGUCCAAACAGCAUUGUAAGUCUUUAUGUCCUGACAACGUUUUAGUGGUCAUUUGAAAAAAGUGAUAACACAUAAAUGGAAAGAAGAAAAUGAUAUUUCUAUUGCUUCUCAAGUCACCCAUUACUAAUGGGCUGUGUGGGGAAUCCGAUUGGACGCCUUCGUUUCCCGUUCCACAAUGAUUGCCUUAUGCUGCUGUAUAGUGCCUGCUGGAAGCACAGCUUGGCAAAGAUAGGCCAUCACUGAAAGGAGUGUGGCAAGGCAUGUCUGACACGGACACAAGGAACAGCCCCCAGUUGGUGCAGUGUUCAACAGAUGUUGAGUAUCCUGGGUUUCCUUUGGGGGAAUUUCGAACAUCUCACAGCACUUCUGUGAAUUUACAUGGUACCCUGGGGGUGAUUUGGUAGCCAGUGUGGGGACCACAGAACUAGGCACACUGGUUCCCAUUAUAGAACCGAGAUCGUAUUUAGCUGCUAAAUCCAAAGCCAUAUUUGAGUACAUAGUAAGAUUUUGUGUGAGGAUUCCAGGAAACAACGUUGCCGCUCUUUCUGAAAAUCCUGUCCUAUCUGUCCUUAAAUCCAUAGGGAUGCCCCAGAGUGCUAAUCCAGUCUGCCUAGUCUGAUAGAGGUGAGAGGAGGAAAGGCGGGAGAAAUGUGUCUGGAUCUUCGGCGAGGGCAUGAAAGCAUGUGCUGUUGAACGAAGAGGACGUGAGUAUGGACAUGCAAUAGUGAUCUGGAGCCCUUGAUGAAGAAAUGAACGCUCAGCUUCUGAAGGGUUGGUUGUUGUCAGAACCUGCAGUUAAGCUGUCUAAGCCUUGGGGUGUUGCCCUUUGUAAUCAGGAACAUCCUUCCAGAAGGCAGUCGUAGAACACGGGGAGAAGAAAAUUAGUACCAGACUCCACCAGCGCAUUUCUUUGGUUGCUCUCCUCUGUUUUCUUAGCUGGACGCCGUUCUUGGUUGGUUGAGACACUGAUGAAACCAGUUCCCUUGGCAACUGGGAGAUAGCCUUACAUCAUCCGAGUGAUGGCUCGACCCCAGAAAUCAGCGGGAGAACCCACAGUACCACACAGAGAGAAAAAAAUGAGACUCAGAAAAAAAAGAAGGUAACCAAGAUGCUAAAAAAGAUGAAGAGUUGACCUAAAACAAAUAUCCAGUCUUCCUCCCUGGAGAAAACAUUGGAAAGAAAAAUGAAGGUACAGAAAUGACAAGUGACUCACCCAGCCUGGCCUAGCAGGUCAAUGCCAGAAUUGGGGUUGGCCUCAGAUCUUCCAAACUUGGCUAGGAGUCUGGGGCUCCCUAACUCCCUUCACCCCCCAGUGCCGAAAUCACCUCCCAAUUCCUACUAAGAGUAAAGUUGAUGCUGCAAGAAGAUACACUAUAUUCACCUGUGGCUUUGGAUAUCUUCUGUCUGGAUCUCAGCCUGGAUCUUUGUACACCAAGAUCAAGUUUGAGAAGCAUGGAUUGACCGGGAGUUGGCAAACUUACUCUGUAAAAGGCCAGACACUAAAUGUGGGGCAUACUGUUUUUGUUAAUAACUAUUCAACCCUGCCAUUGUAGUCGUGCAGUAAAAGCAGCCAUAAACAAAAUAUAAAUGAUUUGGCAUGGUUGUGUUCCAAUAAAACUUUAUAAAAACAAACCGAUUUGGCCCAUGGCCUGAAUCUGGCCCGCAGGUUAUAGCUUAUGAACUCCUAAAUGAGACAGUGCAUGCCCAAGGGUUUAUAAAAAGGAAAUAUUUUCAGCUGGAACCAAUAAAGAAGAAGAAUGGGGAUAGAAAUUCCAUUGAUCAUUGACGGCUAUGUGUUAUUUCAAAGAGCAGGGAAGACGUAACAUUAUCAGUCGAGGAACAGUGUAAUCAAAGGCAAAUACUUUUGAGUUUAUGUGCAUGUGGGGGACAGGGAGGACAGUAAUUAGAUCAAUUUGGCUGGAGGAAGGAACUCAUGUCCAAGAGAAGCACGUUAAACCAUCAGGCCUGGAAGGGACCUCUCUGAUCAUUUUCUUCUCAUUUUACAGAUGGGGAAAUUGAGGUCAAGAGAGAUCUCAGAUCUGGAACGAGGCUGAGGAGUGGAACGCCUUGAAUACUAAGCUAAGGGAUCUCAGCUCUGCAGGGCAGGCCAGCGAUGUUUCAACAUUUCCUCUUUGAAUGCUUAUUCAUUAACCCACUUCCUACAUGCCACGUGACCAGAUGUCCCAAGAGGAGUUCCUUUGGGAUGAAGCUAACACUCAUCCUCUGUGCGCCAUUGUGAAAUAGUGCUAUUGAGGUGGUGACAAGAGGCAUGUGGAGCAAUGACCUAGAUGAGAGCCAACGAUCCAGGAGCUCUAGCUUCUCAGCCUGCAGUCAGCGUGUUCUGCUCGCCUAGACGGAAUCCUGAGCCCUCCUGCAGUUAGAUAAGAGGCAUUCAGCCUCAGAACCCAUGGCUCUGCCCCUCGUCCCACCACAAACUCAAAGCCAUAAAUGACCAGAGGAUACUGGAGUGCAAGGUGCCACAACCCUGUGUGACCCAGAUAUUCAUUCACAGUUUUUUCCUCCUAAUUACUGAGCACUUCCCAUGCACUGGGUGCUGAGGAUAAAUAGUGAACGAGGUUAGCAGGCAGGCUUCCGCGCUCACGGGACUUACAUUCUAGUAGUGUGAGGAGGGGAACACAAUGCAACAACAAGUAAACAACAACAACAACAACAAAACAAGCAACAGAAUUUCAGAUGGAGAUCAGUGGUCCUGGCAGAACUGAACAGGGUAUCAUGAUAGUGGCUGGAGGGGCUCUUUUGAAGACCUCUCUGGGGAGAAACCUGAAGGUUCUGCAAGCACAGAGCACUCCAAGAAGGGGAAAGAGCAGGGGAAAGACCCCGAGUGUGCUGUAUUGGGGGAACAGAGAGCAGGUGUUUGUGUCUGCAGGACGGUGGGUGGGGGAAGGGAUGGGUAGGAGACAAGGAACAAGAGACAGACAACAUAAAGAAACUGAUGAAUUUUAUUCUGGUUGAUCAUGUGACUCAACUUGGCCUCUAUUUUUAAACUUUAAUUUUAUUUACAUUCAGUUAAUUAACAUAUAGUGUAUCAUUAGUUUCAGAGGUAGAGUUCAGUGAUUCAUCACUUGCAUAUAACACCCAGCGCUCAUUACCUCAC